rnacentral:rRNA from 1 species
AACGAACGCUGGCGGCAUGCCUAACACAUGCAAGUCGAACGAAUGUAGCAAUACAUGAGUGGCGAACGGGUGAGUAACGCGUGGGAACCUGCCUAGUGGUAGGGAAUAACCGCGGGAAACUGCGGCUAAUACCCUAUGAGCCCUCCGGGGGAAAGAUUUAUCGCCAUUAGAGGGGCCCGCGUCGGAUUAGCUAGUUGGUGGGGUAACGGCCCACCAAGGCGACGAUCCGUAGCUGGUCUGAGAGGAUGAUCAGCCACACUGGGACUGAGAUACGGCCCAGACUCCUACGGGAGGCAGCAGUGGGGAAUAUUGGACAAUGGGGGCAACCCUGAUCCAGCAAUGCCGCGUGAGUGAAGAAGGCCUUAGGGUUGUAAAGCUCUUUCGGCGGGGAAGAUGAUGACGGUACCCGCAGAAGAAGCCCCGGCUAACUUCGUGCCAGCCG